rnacentral:rRNA from 1 species
UAGGGAAUCUUCCGCAAUGGGCGAAAGCCUGACGGAGCAACGCCGCGUGAGUGAUGAAGGUCUUCGGAUCGUAAAACUCUGUUAUUAGGGAAGAACAAAUGUGUAAGUAACUAUGCACGUCUUGACGGUACCUAAUCAGAAAGCCACGGCUAACUACGUGCCAGCAGCCGCGGUAAUACGUAGGUGGCAAGCGUUAUCCGGACUUAUUGGGCGUAAAGCGCGCGUAGGCGGUUUUUUAAGUCUGAUGUGAAAGCCCACGGCUCAACCGUUGAGGGUCAUUGGAAACUGGAAAACUUGAGUGCAGAAGAGGAAAGUGGAAUUCCAUGUGUAGCGGUGAAAUGCGCAGAGAUAUGGAGGAACACCAGUGGAGAAGGCGACUUUCUGGUCUGUAAAUGACGCUGAUGUGCGAAAGCGUGGGGAUCAAACAGG